GGGGAGGUAGCUCAGUUGGGAGAGCGUCGCGUUCUGCAAUGCGAAGGUCGGGAGUUCGAUCCUCCUCCUCUCCACCA
rnacentral:tRNA from 2 species